AGAGUUUGAUCCUGGCUCAGGAUGAACGCUAGCGACAGGCUUAACACAUGCAAGUCGAGGGGCAGCGGGGGAGCAGCAAUGCUCCCGCCGGCGACCGGCGCACGGGUGAGUAACACGUAUGGAACCUGCCCGCAGCAGGGGGAUAAGCGGAAGAAAUUCCGUCUAAUACCGCGUAACACCGCGGAGGGGCAUCCCUCGGCGGUUAAAGAUUCAUCGGCUGCGGAUGGCCAUGCGGCGCAUUAGCUAGUCGGCGGGGUAACGGCCCACCGAGGCGACGAUGCGUAGGGGUUCUGAGAGGAAGGUCCCCCACACUGGUACUGAGACACGGACCAGACUCCUACGGGAGGCAGCAGUGAGGAAUAUUGGUCAAUGGCCGGGAGGCUGAACCAGCCAAGUCGCGUGAGGGAAGACGGCCCUACGGGUUGUAAACCUCUUUUGUCAGGGAGCAAGAGGCGGGUCGGGACCUGCUGUGAGAGUACCCGAAGAAAAAGCAUCGGCUAACUCCGUGCCAGCAGCCGCGGUAAUACGGAGGAUGCGAGCGUUAUCCGGAUUUAUUGGGUUUAAAGGGUGCGCAGGCGGAGGCACAAGUCAGCGGUAAAAUCGCGGGGCUCAACCCCGCUCCGCCGUUGAAACUGUGUCCCUUGAGUGCGCGAAGGGUAGGCGGAAUGCGUGGUGUAGCGGUGAAAUGCAUAGAUAUCACGCAGAACUCCGAUCGCGAAGGCAGCCUACCGGCGCGCAACUGACGCUCAUGCACGAAAGCGUGGGUAUCGAACAGAAAAGAGAUACCCUGGUAGUCCACGCAGUAAACG
rnacentral:rRNA from 1 species